rnacentral:rRNA from 1 species
AUUGAACGCUGGCGGCAGGCCUAACACAUGCAAGUCGAGCGGAUGAAGGGAGCUUGCUCCUGGAUUCAGCGGCGGACGGGUGAGUAAUGCCUAGGAAUCUGCCUGGUAGUGGGGGAUAACGUCCGGAAACGGGCGCUAAUACCGCAUACGUCCUGAGGGAGAAAGUGGGGGAUCUUCGGACCUCACGCUAUCAGAUGAGCCUAGGUCGGAUUAGCUAGUUGGUGGGGUAAAGGCCUACCAAGGCGACGAUCCGUAACUGGUCUGAGAGGAUGAUCAGUCACACUGGAACUGAGACAAGGUCCAGACUCCUACGGGAGGCAGCAGUGGGGAAUAUUGGACAAUGGGCGAAAGCCUGAUCCAGCCAUGGCGCGUGUGUGAAGAAGGUCUUCGGAUUGUAAAGCACUUUAAGUUGGGAGGAAGGGCAGUAAGUUAAUACCUUGCUGUUUUGACGUUACCAACAGAAUAAGCACCGGCUAACUUCGUG